GGGGCUGGGAACCAAGACGCCCUCUGGGCCGAGCUUGCAUGUUAACAUUCUUAAUAGUGCAUCUCGACAAUACCCACAAGAAAAAAAAAAUCAAACGCACCCAUACUGACUAUAAACAAAAAAAUCAAACGUACCAAUAUUGACGCGCUAUACACCGGUGGAGUCUUGAUAUUUAUAAGUAUCAUUAUAACAAAUCGGAUUCGAUUUUCGACAUUUAAUUAUGGCUAAUAUGAAUUUAGAUACUAUUGAAGAGGAUGCAGCUGACUUGCAAUUUCCGAAAGACUGGACAUCAAAUAAAAAGCAUCAUAACACGCUUGAGAUGCCAGUCAGGAAUGAGGAAAUUUUUACUCCAGACUCAACUUGCUUUACAUGCAACAAUCCUAUGACUGAACCUUACAUUCGCUGUGCUGUUUGUGAGUAUGUUCUGAUCUGUUCUCCAUGUUUUGCCAAAGGCCAAGAAAAAGCUUGUCACAAUAAUAAUCAUAGUUACAUGAUUAUUAAAAAUGAUUUUCCACUGUUCAAAGGAUCAGGUUGGACAGCCAGAGAAGAAAUAAAUAUCCUUGAUCUUGUGCAAGAAAGUGGUUUUGGUAAUUGGGUCGAUGUAUCUCGUCGGUUACCUGGAAAAUCUCCAGAUGAAUGCAAAAAACAUUACUUGCAUAAUUAUGUUGAUAAUCAACUUAUAGCAGGGUUACCUGAUUUUAAACAUAAUGCCACUAGUUUGUUUGGUCCAAAAUCAAUUUAUUAUAAUCUUAAAGUUGAAAAUGUAGACGAUCCACCUAGAUUUGCUCCAGGAACACUUAAUUUUAAACUUAUGGCUGGAUAUAAUUCUGCCAGAUCAGAUUUUGAAGUAAACUUUGACAAUCAUGCUGAACUUUUAAUUGCUAAUCUUAAAUAUAAAGAAUUUUCCUCGCAUAAUUUUGUUCAUGUCCUUGGCCAAACAUUACAAGUGGCUUUAGUUAGUGCCUAUAAUAUAAGAUUAAAAGAGCGGGUUCGAAGAAGAAAAGUUGUAAAGAAUCAUGGUUUAAUUUCUUCAAGAAAAACAUUGUCAUGUUUACAAAGAUAUGACGCAACAGUAACUAGAUCUCUUACAUAUAGACUAAGAAUAUUCACUCAACUUGUAAGUGGAAUCGAGUUUGAUACAAUUAUGGAAUGCUUACACCAAAUUGGACAAUUAAAAAGUCGUUUGAGGCAACUUUUUAAUUAUAGAAAUAAUGGCAUAAAACAUUUUUAUAGUAUCUCAAUGUUUGAAGAACUUUCUAUACUUAGACAAGAAAUAGAAAAAGAAAAAAAACAGUAUAUUACUAAUAUAGAAUGCAGUUGGCGCAGUACUGUUCCAAACAUCUCAAAUGAAAGUCUAUUGAUUUCUAAUAUUUCUCGACGCAAAGCGGCUCCCCCACUUGACAUACAUCCUGGCAUGAUAGGUUACAACAAACUAUCUCCAGCUGAAAGAGAGAUUUGUUCAAUAGUCAGAAUUUUACCUGACAUUUAUAUAGAUAUUAAAAAUUCACUUAUGAAUGAAAAUAAAAAGUGUGGUUCAGUAAAAUUAGCUCAAGCAAGACACCUACUGAAAAUAGAUGUUAACAAAACUAAAAAGAUUCAUGAGUUUCUUAUAAAAGAGGGAUAUAUUAAUAAUAAUUAAAUAAAAUUCUACCAAAAUUAAUAUUAAAGUUUGAAAAUGCAGAUACAUUAUUAAUCUCAGAAGUUCACAUGCUUCUUGAACAUCGCAAAGCUCAGAAUGAAUCAGCUGAAGAAGAGCAGGAAUUUUCUGAAGUCUUUAUGAAAAGCCUUACUUAUACAAAUCGUUUUCGAAAAUUUAAAAACAAAGAAACUAUUGCAGCUGUUCGAAAUUUAUUGAGCCAGAAAAAAUUACACAAAUUUGAACUUGCAUCAAUUGCUAAUCUUUGUCCUGAAACACCAGAAGAAGCAAAAGCAUUAAUACCAAGUUUGGAAGGACGAUUAGAAGAUGAAGAAUUAAGGACAAUUUUGGAUGAUAUUCAAACAAAAAGGUCGCUUCAGUAUUAAUUGGAGAACAUACAACUUUUAUAAUUCUUUUUAAUGCACAAACCUUAUCUGCUUUUAAUUCAUUUUUAUAUUACUAAAAAAUGUGAACAUUUAUUUGAAGUUGAUACUUGUAACAUAUUAAAAAAUAUUAAAACUUUGUUUUCAAAAUAAUUUUUAAAUUUUGAAUAAUAAAAGACGGUUAGUAAACUGCUGAAUUACAAAGCAAAAAAA